UACCUGGUUGAUCCUGCCAGUAGUCAUAUGCUUGUCUCAAAGAUUAAGCCAUGCAAGUCUAAGUACGAGCUCUCGUACAGUGAAACUGCGAAUGGCUCAUUAAAUCAGUUAUGGUUCAUUUGAUCGUACAGUUUACUUGGAUAACUGUGGUAAUUCUAGAGCUAAUACAUGCGAGAAGCGCCGACCUCGCGGGAGGCGUGCAUUUAUCAGACCAAAAACCGGCCGCGUCUUCGGGCGCGUUCGCCUUGGUGACUCUGGAUAACUUUGCGGAUCGCACGGUCUAGCACCGGCGACGGAUCAUUCAAGUGUCUGCCCUAUCAACUUUCGUCGGUACGGUAUUUGCCUACCGAGGUUCUUACGGGUGACGGGGAAUCAGGGUUCGAUUCCGGAGAGGGAGCCUGAGAAACGGCUACCACAUCCAAGGAAGGCAGCAGGCGCGCAAAUUACCCAUUCCCGACGCGGGGAGGUAGUGACGAAAAAUAACAAUGCAGGACUCGUUCGAGGCCCUGUAAUUGGAAUGAGUACACUUUAAAAGCUUUAACGAGUAUCCAUUGGAGGGCAAGUCUGGUGCCAGCAGACGCGGUAAUUCCAGCUCCAAAAGUAUAUAUUUAAGUUGUUGCGGUUAAAAAGCUCGUAGUUGGAUUUUGGGCGCAGGCGGCCGGUCCGUCGCAAGGCGUGUACUGGACGUCCUGGCCUUCCCUCCGGUUCUCCGCCGGUGCUCUUGACUGAGUGUCGGCGGCGGCCGGAACGUUUACUUUGAAAAAAUUAGAGUGUUCAAAGCAGGCUCUCGAGCCUGGAUAAUGGUGCAUGGAAUAAUGGAAUAGGACCUCGGUUCUAUUUUGUUGGUUUUCGGAGCGCGAGGUAAUGAUUAAGAGGGACAGACGGGGGCAUUCGUACUGUGCCGUUAGAGGUGAAAUUCUUGGAUCGGCGCAAGACGAACGACUGCGAAAGCAUUUGCCAAGAAUGUUUUCUUUAAUCAAGAGCGAAAGUCAGAGGUUCGAAGACGAUCAGAUACCGUCCUAGUUCUGACUAUAAACGAUGCCAACUAGCGAUCGGGGGGCGUUACAUUGACGACCCCUCCGGCAGCUUACGGGAAACCAAAGUCUUUGGGUUCCGGGGGAAGUAUGGUUGCAAAGCUGAAACUUAAAGGAAUUGACGGAAGGGCACCACCAGGAGUGGAGCCUGCGGCUUAAUUUGACUCAACACGGGAAAUCUCACCCGGCCCGGACACAGUGAGGAUUGACAGAUUGAGAGCUCU
rnacentral:ncRNA from 1 species